rnacentral:rRNA from 1 species
CCCGCUGAGUUUAAGCAUAUAAAUAAGCGGAGGAGAAGAAACUUACAAGGAUUCCCCUAGUAACGGCGAGCGAACCGGGA